AGUGAACGCUGGCGGUAGGCCUAACACGUGCAAGUCGAACGGCAGCACAGUAAGAGCUUGCUCUUACGGGUGGCGAGUGGCGGACGGGUGAUGAAUACAUCGGAAUCUGCUUUUUCGUGGGGGCUAACGUAGGGAAUCUUACGCUAAUACCGCAUACGACCUACGGGGGAAAGCAUGGGAUCUUCGGACCUUACGCGAUUGAAUGAGCCGAUGUCGGAUUAGCUAGUUGGCGGGGUAAAGGCCCACCAAUGCGACGAUCCGUAGCUGGUCUGAGAGGAUGAUCAGCCACACUGGAACUGAGACACGGUCCAGACUCCUACGGGAGGCAGCAGUGGGGAAUAUUGGACAAUGGGCGAAAGCCUGAUCCAGCCAUACCGCGUGGGUGAAGAAGGCCUUCGGGUUGUAAAGCCCUUUUGUUGGGAAAGAAAAGCAGCAGGUUAAUACCCCGCUGUUCUGACGGUACCAAAAGAAUAAGCACCGGCUAACUUCGUG
rnacentral:rRNA from 1 species